rnacentral:rRNA from 1 species
GAUGAACGCUGGCGGCGUGCUUAACACAUGCAAGUCGAACGGAAAGGCCCAAGCUUGCUUGGGUACUCGAGUGGCGAACGGGUGAGUAACACGUGGGUGAUCUGCCCUGCACUUCGGGAUAAGCCUGGGAAACUGGGUCUAAUACCGGAUAGGACGAUGGUUUGGAUGCCAUUGUGGAAAGUUUUUUCGAUGUGGGAUGAGCUCGCGGCCUAUCAGCUUGUUGGUGGGGUAAUGGCCUACCAAGGCGUCGACGGGUAGCCGGCCUGAGAGGGUGUACGGCCACAUUGGGACUGAGAUACGGCCCAGACUCCUACGGGAGGCAGCAGUGGGGAAUAUUGCACAAUGGGCGCAAGCCUGAUGCAGCGACGCCGCGUGGGGGAUGACGGCCUUCGGGUUGUAAACUCCUUUCGCUAGGGACGAAGCGUUUUUGUGACGGUACCUGGAGAAGAAGCACCGGCUAACUACGUG